CUUUGUGACAGUGUGUCAUUUUUAUUUCCCACUGCUUCAAGGUCAUGAUAUACCCAUGAAUAGCAUAUAUAUACAUGAUAGCAGUAGCUAGGUAUCCUGAAGGACCUCAUUGUUUAUCCUUCCAGUGGCUUGGAAUUGAAAGACUAAUCUAUUUGAUAAGUAAUUUGAUGGGUGACUAAACUUGUUUAUGGUGCUUAUUUUUUUAGAUUUCCCAAAAGUGAGUAUUUGAAGAGGAGUCAUCACAGCGUGGUGAUGGAGUGCAGGCUUUGCUGGCAGCUCUUGAGUCCUGCCUCUGACUCUCACUGGUAGCAUGGCUCCUCAUUACGGAAUCUAGCCUCACUUGGCCUCAGUUUCUUCAUCUGCAAAAUAGGGAUUGCAGACUUCACCUUUUAAUCUGUGUGUGAGUUCUGAGUAAGAUGGUAUCAAGUGCCUGGUCCAUAGUAUGCAUUCAAUAACUGAUUGCUCUUAAUUUAAAUCUUUUAUUUAGACUGGACAUUUUUUGAGUGUUUUAAAAACAAAAGUAAGUUGAGGCAGAUGGUAAUGCGUAUUUGCAAAUUCUUUUUGUGAAUGUUGGAAAAUUACAGUUGCAUCAAAAUACUUACUUGUAGAUAAGGCUAAUAGAAUAUAUUUGAGCCUUCUUUAAAGAAAGCAUUGCCCACAUUCGUUAAAUGCAUUAUCACAAUGUGUUCUUUUUUUUUAAACCAAUAUAUACAAAGUGAACCCAGUUUGUAUACUCUUCCCUUCCAAGAGUUCCAAAGCAGUUUUUAUCAUUUCAUUAAUCCUUCGAAUUUCUGUGAGAAGAUAGCAAAAGCAUGUUUUGUUUACUUUAAUUUAGAAAUAAAAAAGAUUAAGCUGGAAAAAAGUUGGGUGACAUACUGGGGUCACAUGGUGAGUACUAGAAAUUAAUGAACAAAAUAGACUUAAUAACAGAUAAUAGAAUUAAAAUGAAUUUUUCUGACAUUAUUUUUAGUUUUCUCCUAGAGAAUAGAUUUUAAGGAAGAUAUUUGAUGCUGUGAUAUAAAGUAAACCAUUCUUAGCAUAUUCCUUUUCUUUUGGAAAUGUUAGAUGAAAUUGCAGGCAAAGGUGGUGUAGAAGGGGGAAAAACAAUUGAGGAAGUCUAGUUGGCGAAGCAGGACUACUUAGCGAGAAUAUGGUCUGAGCCCAAGGAAACCAUCUACAACCAAGGGUUCAGGAGAGUAAGUUAAGAAGGGAAGUGGCAGAAGGAUCAUGAGUUCCUUGCUUGCAGAGUAAGUCGGGAGAUGAGAAGGAGGAAGCAAUGCUUUUGUGAGUGUCCACCAGAUUGUAGGGACAUACGAAGAGAAAAGACUGGAACCAAAUGGAUUUGAAAAAAAGGAUUAUGAUACUGAAAAGAUUGGUCCAUCCCAGCAUCUCCCAAAGCAAGUAUAUGGAUAUCUGUGUAAGAUUUACCUGAGGAACUUAUGAAAUAAAGGUUCCUAAGCUCCACUAAUGGAGGCCCACUCAGUGGGUCUGGAG